UGACCUUAUCUUGGUAUAUGGCAUAACGUGUUGAUUUAUGCCUAAUUUCUGCCAUAUUGUGCUCCAAUUUUCCCAGCAGUUUUCAUGAAAUAAAUUCUGGAAGCAGCAAUUGGCAUCAAGGAGUCUGACUAUCUCUUCUUAUGAGCCUAUGAAAAAGAGCCUGGGACAAGUUAAAGGACCUGCUGAAAACUAUGUGGCAACAAGUAAUAGAACAGGGAUUAGAAUCUGUCUUCUGAUUUCUGGACCACUUUUGACAUCUCCCUGUUUAUCACAACAACAACAAUAAUAAUUGGCAUACAUAAGUAGCACAUUAAAGUUUGAAAAUUGCUUUACCUACAUUAA